GGGGCGGCUUACCAUGCAGUCGAGCGGUAACAGGGGGUGCUUGCACCCCGCUGACGAGCGGCGGACGGGUGAGUAAUGCAUAGGAAUCUGCCCAGUAGUGGGGGAUAGCCCGGGGAAACCCGGAUUAAUACCGCAUACGCCCUUUGGGGGAAAGCAGGGGAUCUUCGGACCUUGCGCUAUUGGAUGAGCCUAUGUCGGAUUAGCUAGUUGGUGGGGUAAAGGCCUACCAAGGCGACGAUCCGUAGCUGGUCUGAGAGGAUGAUCAGCCACAUCGGGACUGAGACACGGCCCGAACUCCUACGGGAGGCAGCAGUGGGGAAUAUUGGACAAUGGGGGCAACCCUGAUCCAGCCAUGCCGCGUGUGUGAAGAAGGCUUUCGGGUUGUAAAGCACUUUCAGUGAGGAGGAAAACCUUCUGGUUAAUACCCAUGAGGCUUGACGUUACUCACAGAAGAAGCACCGGCUAACUCCGUGCCAGCAGCCGCGGUAAUACGGAGGGUGCAAGCGUUAAUCGGAAUUACUGGGCGUAAAGCGCGCGUAGGUGGUUUGAUAAGCGAGAUGUGAAAGCCCCGGGCUUAACCUGGGAACGGCAUUUCGAACUGUCAGGCUAG
rnacentral:rRNA from 1 species